rnacentral:lncRNA from 1 species
UUCUUUGACAAAAAAACAAGAUGCAGAGAGAAAACAGAUGGAAGCAGAGAAGAAAGUGAAUGAGAAAGAAGAAAGAAACAAAAAAGAAGAAAAAGAAAGGUAGCCAAGCGGAGAAAGGAGAAAAAAGAGCGAAGGAAGAAGAACAAAAGUAAAGAAGAGAAGAGGAACAAAAGAAGAAAGAAAGAGAAGAACGAAGGAAAAAGAAGGAAGAAGAGCAAAGGAAUAAAACAGAAAGAAAAAAGCAAUCAGAGAAGGAAAAUAAGAGAGAAAGAGAGAAUAUUAGAGUAAUAGGAGAGGCAGACAUAGACUUUCCUGCUGG